rnacentral:rRNA from 1 species
GAGUUUGAUCAUGGCUCAGGAUGAACGCUGGCGGCGUGCCUAACACAUGCAAGUCGAGCGGAGUUAUUCGAGGAAGUUUUCGGAUGGAAUUGAAUAACUUAGUGGCGGACGGGUGAGUAACGCGUGGGAAACCUGCCCUGUACCGGGGGAUAACACUUAGAAAUAGGUGCUAAUACCGCAUAAGCGCACAGCUUCGCAUGGAGCAGUGUAGAAAAACUCCGGUGUACAGGAUGGUCCCGCGUCU